UGUGCGUAAUUUAAAAAAAUAUCAGGCUGUGAUCCUGAAAAUAGGAAACAUACCCUCGCACACC
rnacentral:tRNA from 1 species